rnacentral:rRNA from 1 species
AUGCGGGACUCAUCAGAGGCCUCGCAAUUGGAAUGAGCGCACUUUAAAUCGUUCGACGAGGAUCUAUUGGAGGGCAAGUCUGGUGCCAGCAGCCGCGGUAAUUCCAGCUCCAAUAGCGUAUAUUAAAGUUGUUGCAGUUAAAAAGCUCGUAGUUGGAUCUGGGGUUCGGGUCGGCGGUUUGCCGCUUCGGCGGCUACUGCCGUGCUCGACUCUUACUAGCCGGUGCGUCUUGCGGUGCUCUUCAUCGAGUGCCGUAGGAGCCUGGCAUGUUUACUUUGAAAAAAUUAGAGUGCUCAAAGCAGGCGAUUCCGCCUGAAUAGUGUUGCAUGGAAUAAUGGAAUAGGACCUCGGUUCUAUUUUGUUGGUUUUCGGAACUUGAGGUAAUGAUUAAGAGGGACGGUCGGGGGCAUUCGUAUUUCGGUGUUAGAGGUGAAAUUCUUGGAUCGCUGAAAGACGGACAAAUGCGAAAGCAUCUGCCAAGAACGUCUCCAUUAAUCAAGAACGAAAGUCAGAGGUUCGAAGACGAUCAGACACCGUCCUAGUUCUGACCAUAAACGAUGCCAACUAGCGAUCCGCAGUGGUUGCUAUAAACGGACUCUGCGAGCAGCUUCCGGGAAACCAAAGUGUUUGGGUUCCGGGGGAACUAUGGUUGCAAAGCUGAAACUUAAAGGAAUUGACGGAAGGGCACCACCAGGAGUGGAGCCUGCGGCUUAAUUUGACCCAACACGGGGAAACUCACCCGGUCCGGACACUGUAAGGAUUGACAGAUCGAGAGCUCUUUCUUGAUUCGGUGGAUGGUGGUGCAUGGCCGUUCUUAGUUGGUGGAGUGAUUUGUCUGGUUAAUUCCGAUAACGAACGAGACGCUAGCCUGCUAACUAGUUGCGCCGUGUUCAUACGCGGCUGUAGACUUCUUAGAGGGACAGGUGGCGUUUAGCCACACGAAAUUGAGCAAUAACAGGUCUGUGAUGCCCUUAGAUGUCCGGGGCCGCACGCGCGCUACACUGAAGGAGUCAACGUGUGCUAUCCGGGCUCGGAAGAGUUCGGUAACCCGUUGAAACUCCUUCGUGCUUGGGAUUGUGGCUUGUAAUUAUCGCGCAUGAACGAGGAAUUCCCAGUAAGUGCAAGUCAUCAGCUUGCGCUGACUACGUCCCUGCCCUUUGUACACACCGCCCGUCGCUACUACCGAUUGAAUGGUUUAGCAAGGUACUCGGAUUGGUCUCGAUCUUGUACGAAAGUGCGGGAUCUGUGGCCGAGAAGAAGGCCAAACUUGAUCAUUUAGAGGAAGUAAA